rnacentral:rRNA from 1 species
GACAGAGGGUGCAAACGUUGUUCGGAAUUACUGGGCGUAAAGCGUGUGUAGGCGGUCAAGUAAGUCGGAUGUGAAAGCCCCGGGCUCAACCCGGGAAGUGCACUCGAAACUGCAUGACUUGAGUAUCGGAGAGGUUGGUGGAAUUCUCGGUGUAGAGGUGAAAUUCGUAGAUAUCGAGAGGAACACCGGUGGCGAAAGCGGCGCGCUGGAUCCCUACUGACGCUGAGGCACGGAAAGCCAGGGGAGCAAACGGG